UGUGGUCUUUCAGUGGAAACUGAAGUUCUUUGUGCCAUUCGGUUUUAUGCAGUUGGUUCUUAUCAAAGAGCAAUAGGACAGGAUUUUGCAUUGGCUUUGAGUCAGACUGCAGUCAGACGGUGUAUCAGAUCAGUGUCCGUUGCUAUCAACGACCAUAUGCUUCGCCGAUCGAUUAAAUUCCCUGCCACUCCGGAGCAAAGAGAGGCAGCUGAAAUAAAAUUUGCUGAUGCUCCACAACCAUUUCCUAGAGCGAUUAGCGCAAUAGACUGCACUCAUGUCGGAAUCGUUGCUCCUAAGGAGAAUGAGGAAGCUUUUGUGAAUCACCAUGGUUAUCAUUCUAUGAAUGUUCAAAAGAUUUGUGACCCAGAACCCCUGCAUACUGCGUACCCCUGCGUACUUUAAAUGUAAGCGCCAGAUUCCCAGGAUCUCGUCAUGAUGCUGCAAUUUGGAUGCAGACACCUGUGCGUAAUCUUAUGGAGCUGUGUCACAGGCAACGCGAGAGGCAAACAUGGUUGUUGGGUGAUUCAGGCUAUCCUUCGGAACCAUGGCUCCUGACACCAAUACCGAAUGCUCCAAAUGGAUCACCUCAGUAUAUACAGGGU